rnacentral:lncRNA from 1 species
UCAUUCUCUGUGCUGCCUGCCACUGGCGCUCUUUCUAGGUUGUGAAUUUUUAAAAUAUCUCUAGGGGAGCUCCCACUGUGGCUCAGCAGUAAUGAACCCAACUAGUAUCCAUGAGGAUGCAGGUUGCAUCCCUGGCCUGGAUCAGUGGGUUAAGGAUCAGGCCUUGCUGGGAGCUGUGGUGUAGGUCACAGACGGCAGCUUGGAUCCCAAGUGGCUGUGGCUGUGGCUGUGGUGUAGGCCAUCAGCCGCAGCUCUGAUUGGACCCCUAGCCUGGGAACUUGUAUGCAGCAGGUGUGGCCCUAAACAGACAAAAAAAAAAAAAAAAAGGGUAUUUUAUGCCCUCACCUGCUCCAUAAAAGUUUUUUUUUAAAAGGAGAAUGUGUUAAAACUAUAUGUUCUCACGUGGGAAGUUUACACUAAAUAUAUGUUUAGAUGAAACAAGCACAUUCCAAAACAGUAUAUGAUACAUUCUAUCAUAUACUCUAUGUGCAAAACCAGGUGAGUGUUCCAAAGGCGUAUAUAUUUCUGGACUGUGCACUGGUUUUACAAGUGUUCAUUCAUUUUGUUUGGUUGGUUGGGUGUUUUUAACUUGUGUCACUUCUCAGUGCGACAUUUGGCACCAGCCAGGUCCCGUUGGCCUCUGAGGCCUCUGUGCCGCCCCGCAGCCUCCUCGCCACCAGAGGGCGCCCGGAGCAACAUCAGCUCGGUUACAUUUCUCCAGCUUCACUGAGCUCAGGAAGACAGCAGUGAGCAGUGAGUGAUGGCUUGAGGUGAGAGCUUACUUCCCUGCUCAGGAACUGAACCUGGACAGCCAGCGUGAGAACCGGGAAUCCUAACCACUACACCAUGGGAGGCUAGUGGCUGGAAGCAGAGCCGCUGGAUCUUGUCUGCCUUGUAAACAAAAAUUUUACAAAGUGAUGGAAGCUAUGAAACAGACGUGGAGUUUAUUACUAUAAGCACAGCACAUGUGGAAGAGCACACAGGCAGCUGAGAAGCAAAACAGCACACUCAGAGAGGAGUGCGGAUGUCCCUGCCCAAGGGGUGAUUUAAAUCACUUACGUAAGGGGAGUUCCCUGGUGGGUAGGCAGGUUAAGGAUCUGGCCUUGUCACUGCUGUGGCUCCAGUUGCAGCUGUGGCACAGGUUCAGUCCCUGGCCUGGGAACUUCUGAAUGCCAGAGACAUGGCCCUCCCUCCAAAAAAAUCACUUAUGUAGGGCAUUCAUCCAGGUCUUUGUUUUCUUUGAUCUUUUUGAUCUUGUUUUAUUUCUCACACCUGUUCAGACCCCGGCACUCCCUGAUACGCAUACACAACUUUCAGCCAAGAUGGAUUCCAGUGCAGGGUUUAUGAGAGGUUGGCAAUACCUAUUAUGGGAUGGCAGCCCCCCCCCCUUUUGACCCCCAAGGAGUCUUUCUGAGCAUGUGUAGUCAGGGAGGUCUCCUUGACCUCAGGAGUGACUGACCUGCUCAUCUCUUUCUGGGGGGCCACACCCCAGACCUGUGGAAGUUCCUGGGCCAGGGAUCAACUCUGCACCACAGCAGCAGCCCAAGCCUCUGCAGGGACAAUGCUGGAUGCUUAACCUACUGAGCCACAAGAGAACUCCUGAUGUGUUCAUCUAAUCUUUUUAGUUCCAGCAGAGCUCAGCUCCUGCCAUUAACUUCCUCCUUGAGGUGUCAAAGAGAAACAAGGCCCAAUUUACUCAGCCCAACAAGUUUCAGCUGUUCUCAGCCCUGGGGCCCAUCUAGAUUCUACCUCAAACUGUCGCAGGCUCUUCAAAGCUGGAAGAGGAGAAAGAAUGGAGGUGAUACUUCCCGAGCACCUACAAUGUGCAGGACUGUCCCUCUGCACAUAGCAUCUUAUCAAAUGCUCACAACUAGACUGAUGAUAAUCCCCAGAUUUUUUCAGAUGAGAACACUGAGAUUCUGAGAGAUUGAUUUACCCAAGCUCACGAGCUAGUCACCGGCAGAAUCAGAAUCCAGAUGCAGGCCAGCAAGGGAUCCUAAAGUUUUGCUUUACCCCCGUAAAGCCCUCACUUGUCCCCAAAUUUAUGGAUGAAGAAAGAAAAUCCAGAAUCGCAGGCUCAAUUAAGGUUUGACAGAAGGACGAAUGAACGAAUGAUUCCAGCAGCAACCAAGAGUUGUGUGCAGGGAACACCAAGGUGCCGGGGAGCAGGCUGAGGUGCGUGCAGCCAGUGGCCGGGAGAAACAGGAUAUACUCUCUUCCCUCUCAUAAGCACCAGGGGACACCUGGGCCAGGCCCUGUGCUGACAAAGAGCCCACAGACACACAAAGUGGGUCCCUGUUAGUUCUGUGAAAAGCCAGUCCUACGAGGGUCUUCAGCAUUUGAGUUUGAUAAAAACCCAGCAGCAGCAGCAGCAGAGCAGCAAUCCACAGCCGCUCCUACCGUUCAUUCUGCAUAUAAUUCGAAAGGGGUCUCAGCCCCCAGAAUUCCAGUCAAGGGCCGCAGCUUAAGUACCCCUAGUCUAAGCAGAACGAGAAAAAUCGAAUGAGUGCUGGAAGCGCGAGCCGGGCCAGACAGAAGCGAGGAAAGAAGCCGGGGCCUCGGAGGAGGUGGCGGGGACAAGGCCUUGGAGGCAGGGAAGGGACGGCGAUGGGAGGCCCUUGGGUCCGUUUUAGGAAACUUGUUUCAUUCCCCAUAAGCCGAAGGGAGCAAAGGUUCCAGGGCGAGAAGGCCCCUGACCUCCAGGCCGGCUCAGGAAGAUGACGCAAGCGGCCCGCGCGGCGGCCCCGACAGGCGACUGCCC